rnacentral:rRNA from 1 species
UAGGGAAUCUUCCACAAUGGACGCAAGUCUGAUGGAGCAACGCCGCGUGAGUGAAGAAGGUUUUCGGACCGUAAAGCUCUGUUGUUGGUGAAGAAGGAUAGAGGUAGUAACUGGCCUUUAUUUGACGGUAAUCAACCAGAAAGUCACGGCUAACUACGUGCCAGCAGCCGCGGUAAUACGUAGGUGGCAAGCGUUGUCCGGAUUUAUUGGGCGUAAAGCGAGCGCAGGCGGAAGAAUAAGUCUGAUGUGAAAGCCCUCGGCUUAACCGAGGAAUUGCAUCGGAAACUGUUUUUCUUGAGUGCAGAAGAGGAGAGUAGAACUCCAUGUGUAGCGGUGGAAUGCGUAGAUAUAUGGAAGAAUACCAGUGGCGAAGGCGGCUCUCUGGUCUGCAACUGACGCUGAGGCUCGAAAGCAUGGGUAGCGAACAGGAUUAGAUACCCUGGUAGUCCAUGCCGUAAACGAUGAGUGCUAAGUGUUG